GCGAAUAGCUCAUUACAACAGCCAUCGUUUAUUAGAAUAUCGUUAUCCUACUUGGAUAACUGUGGCAAUUCUAGAGCUAAUACAUGCAAUAAAGCUCUGCCCGCAAGGAACGAGCGCAUUUAUUAGAAUAAAAACCAAUCGGGUUUCGGCCCGUAAUUUGGUGAAUCUGAAUAACUUUGCCAAUCGCACAGUCCUAGUACUGGCGAUGUAUCUUUCAAGUGUCUGCCUUAUCAACUUUCGAUGGUACGCUAUACGCCUACCAUGGUAGUAACGGGUAACGGAGAAUAAGGGUUCGACUCCGGAGAGGGAGCCUGAGAAACGGCUACCACAUCCAAGGAAGGCAGCAGGCGCGCAAAUUACCCACUUCCAGAACGGAGAGGUAGUGACGAAAAAUAACGAGACAGUCCUCUUCGAGGUCUGUCAUCGGAAUGGGUACAAUUUAAA
rnacentral:rRNA from 1 species